GAUGAACGCUGGCGGCGUGCCUAACACAUGCAAGUCGAGCGAACGGACGAGAAGCUUGCUUGUCUGAUGUUAGCGGCGGACGGGUGAGUAACACGUGGAUAACCUACCUAUAAGACUGGUACAACUUCGGGAAACCGGCGCUAAUACCGUAUAAUAUUUUGAACCGCAUGGUUCAAAAGUGAAAGACGGCCUUGCUGUCUCUUAUAGAUGCUUCCGCGCUGCAUUAGCUAGUUGGUACGGUAACGGCUUACCAAGGCAACGAUGCGUAGCCGACCUGAGAGGGUGGUCGGCCACACUGGAACUGAGACACGGUCCAGACUCCUAAGGGAGGCAGCAGUAGGGAAUCGUCGGCAAUGGGCGAAAGCCUGACGGAGCAACGCCGCGUGAGUGAUGAAGGCCUUCGGAUCGUAAAACUCUGGUGCUGGGGAAGAACAUCUGUGUAAGUAAAUGUGGAGAUCUUGACGGUACCUAAUCAGAAAGCCCCGGCUAACUACGUG
rnacentral:rRNA from 1 species